UGUAUUAGAACAAAAACAUUGGCAAUAAAACUUGAAAAAACUUCUUUCUCAAUCUAUUCUGGAUGAUUUUUAGUUAAUCCAGAAUGUCAACACUCAACUAGUUCUCUCCUCUUCAUUAAUCUUUUGGGUCGUUCCUGGGUCGCUAUAGUAUCCGCUGACGCAUUUUCUGGACACGGCGAGAAUCAUUUGAGUGUUAUUAUUUUGGAUUGUGGUAAUUCUUUCCUGUAGCAUCCAAGUAUCAAAGAGAAAGGGAAAUAAUUUGGGUAGUGACAUUUUGGAUUGCGCUAAUUUUUCCUUUCAUGCACUAACCAAAAAACAAAGGGAAAGGGAGAAGAAUGAGUGAAAUUUGUGUACAUUUUGGAUUACCUAAUUAUUUGCGAUUAACAAAAAAUCCACCAGAACGGGUGAAAAGUAGGAAAAUAUGUUUUGAGGUUUUAUUGCCGAUUGAUGUUUAUAAGUUUUAACUCGUAUUCGGACUUAGUAUACUGACAAGGGAACACUGCGAAUAUGACCAAAAAUUGUGUUGUAACAUACGCCAUUGUGUAGAGCAGUGUUGAUACCUACUGCCAAUUUUUGGCUUUGACCCCCAAAUUGAAAAGUUAUAGUACAUCAAAGUUUUAAACUUUCGGAACGGCUGAGUCUCCCUCAUAAAGAGAAAUUUUUCUUUUAUUAAGGAGAGAAAUAAGACUCCCAUCCUCCUUUUUUUCUUUUCCAAUGUUAGCUAAAGAAAGAGAAAAGGAGGAGAGAAAAGAAAAGAAAAAGAGGCAUCUCUGCCAUCUCCUCUUUCCUUUUUUAAUCACAUUAGCUGAAGCGCAGAGAUGCCUCUUUUCCUUUUCUUUUCUCUACUCCUCUUUCUUUAACUAAUAUUGGAAAAGAAAAAAGAGGAUGGGAGUCUUAUUUCUCUCCUUAAUAAAAGAAAAAUUUUUCUUUAUGAGGGAGACUCAGCCGCUCCAAAAGUCGAAAACUUUGAAGCCCUUUAACUUUUCGAUUUGGGGGUCGGAGUCAAGAAACUACAAUAGGUUUUCGACCAUGCUCUACUCGAUAAGCAUAAAAGAGUAUUUUCUCUUUAAUAAGAAAAGCGAGGGAAACUGAAGUCCUAUAACUUUUUAAUUUCGGCCGGUGGUAAAAGAUGACAAAAAUGAACGUAAAAGGAAUAAUAGGGAGAAGUAUUAACAUAAAUAUCAACUUUUGAUAGCUCAUUUAGAUUAUUUGGCAAUUUUUAAUUUUAAAAAAUCCUUAGUGCAUUUGUAGCUUUGUUCCCUCAAAAAUUAAAGUUGUAUAUGGAUCUUUAUUUCAGUUUUGGAUACAUACAUUAAAACUAAGGAAUUAAAUACGAAACAAACAAUAUGCAUAUAUUCAGAUUAUACGAAAAAAUACACAAUAAAUACAUAAUUAUAACAAUAACCAAAAAACGAAAAUACAUACUUAUACAAAUAUACACAACCAUAAAAUAAUAACCACAUAUGCAUAUACUGUCAGUUUUAUAUCAGAGCAGGAGAGUUUGAACAGCGAGGCUAUCAGUUUGAGGGAGAUCACACACACAAAAUACAUACAAUAUAUAAAUACAUUAUCAAUUACAUUAUUGCUUACAAAUUCAAAGACAAAUCAGCAUACAAUAUUUCAUAAAAUUAUAUAACAAUGGCUAAGCACGGUUAAAAAACAUUUACAAAAAUACAAGAAAAAUAUAAAUGCAUAUUAUUACAAUUAAUUUAAACAAAAGGAUACUACAAUGUUUGGAGAGGUCAUGCCGGUUUUUUUCCAAAAAUCGUUAUAAUAAUGGCUUUGUAUUCAAAAAAUCUUAUUUUAAAUUUAGUAUGGAACACGCGUUGCUCAAAUAUUUUAAAAAUUCACAUUAAAUCAUGCUGUGCGAAGGGGUCAUGCCCAAAUUUUUCAAAAAUGUUUCAAUAAUUCAUUACUAUUAAAUAACUAAUACUAUUUAAACAACCACUUUUACUAAUUCUACGGCCACUUUUUGUUUUCUUUCUUGCUUAAUUCUCUUUCCUUUAUUUUUCUCAUGAUGGCGCAUAGCUUGGGUUGCAUUUGGUCCAUUUCUCUUUUCGCCUCGACUCACAUUAUAUUAGAAAAGUGGUUGUAUGUUGAGUAAAAUUAAAAAAGUGGCUGUGUGCUUGCGAAUUGUAAAAUAAAGUGGUUGUUUGCUGAGGAAAUGAAAAAGAAGAAUGUAUAGGAAAAUAAAUAACUCUCGACGUAGCAGAUCUCAAGUCCUUCCGGGCUUCUUGGUGCCUUUUGAUGCAAAUUCUUAUCAUCCAAUCAACAUGUUUAUGGUACAAUCUGAAGACUCUCUUAAGGUAGCCAAAUGCCUCGUCGGCUAACUACCGACGCGCACGAAUGGAUCAACGAGAUUCCCACUGUCCCUAUCUACUAUCUAGCGAAACCACAGCCAAGGGAACGGGCUUGGCAAAUUUAGCGGGGAAAGAAGACCCUGUUGAGCUUGACUCUAGUCUGACUUUGUGAAGAAUCAUGAGAGGUGUAGCAUAAGUGGGAGUCGCAAGACAACAGUGAAAUACCACUACUUUCAUCGAUUCCUUACUUAAUCGGUAAAACGGGAGUUGGUCUACGGACCUUCAUUUUUGUUUUAAGACUAGCCACUCGGUGGUUGGUUGACUCGCGCCGAUGACAUUGUCAGGCGGGGAGUUUGACUGGGGCGGUACAUCUGUCAAAUUGUAACGCAGGUGUCCUAAGGCGAGCUCAGAGAGGACGGAAACCUCUCGUAGAGCAAAAAGGCAAAUGCUUACUUGAUCUUGAUUUUCAGUACGAAUACAGACCGCGAAAGCGUGGCUUAUCGAUCCUUUUGAGUUUGUAAAGUUUACAGCAAGAGGUGUCAGAAAAGUUACCACAGGGAUAACUGGCUUGUGGCGGCCAAGCGUCCAUAGCGACGUCGCUUUUUGAUCCUUCGAUGUCGGCUCUUCCUAUCAUUGCGAAGCAGAAUUCGCCAAGCGUUGGAUUGUUCACCCACCAAUAGGGAACGUGAGCUGGGUUUAGACCGUCGUGAGACAGGUUAGUUUUACCCUACUAAAUACUUGUUGCUAUGAUGGUAAUCCUGCUUAGUACGAGAGGAACCGCAGGUUCAGACAUUUGGUUCAUGUGCCUGGUCGAUAGGCCAAUGGCGCGAAGCUACCAUCUGAGGGAUUAUGACUGAACGCCUCUAAGUCAGAAUCCCGCCCAGUCAUGAUAGCAAUAUAUAUCGCUCUCCGGUGUCGGAAGGCAAAAUGUAUGCCACUUUUUUUAGUGGUAGUACAAGCCCCAGUAUCUGGCAUUUUCCUUCUACUAUAAUUGGUAGUUGGUUGCUAAAAGCUUAGCACUCCUCGUGCAGGUGUAACGUCGGGGCGCAAAAUCACUUGUAUACGACUUGAAUACUGGUCAGGGGGUUGUAUCCAGUAGAGCAGCUCUUCGCUGCGAUCUGUUGAGACUUAGCCCUUGAUCGGAUGAUUUGUCUUUUUU
rnacentral:rRNA from 1 species